rnacentral:lncRNA from 1 species
UCUCGGUACAAGAAGUGAUGCAUUUAAAGAGUUCAAGGUACCAGCGAUGCUUCCCUGCGACCCAACGAGGGGACCCGUCAGUUCACCGCGUGUUUGACCUCUGCCUGAAUUCUGCCGCGUAUGUGAAGGUUAUAAUGAAGUUGGUUGGUUUCAUGCAAAGCCCCUUUAACAACAUGGGAGGCAGUGUUUGGGGAACAUUGCUGAAAUUGACACUUGAUAAAUUGAAGAUCUACGAUAAGUGUGUUAAUGUUACUGUCAGAGGCUUCCUUUUUUCACUUUUAAAUGUCUG